UCUACUUUUCCAUGUUUUGGUGCACGUGUGAGGUGUGUGCAGCAAACAAUGCUUCACGUCCUUUCUCCCCACUCUAUCUGUUCAUCUUGAAUACUCAACCAAAAAAACCAACCCCUCCAUCCUUAACUGGUUGAUGUGGUUGUCAAAUCAGUGUAAAUCUAGAACUUAAGUUAUAUGAUGAACAUAACUCUUUCCGUUAGUUGUAUCAGUUUGCUUGCUUGAUGUAGUUGCCAAAACAACGUAAAAUCCAGAAAUUAAUUUAUACAAUGAACACAAUCCUUCCUCGUUUUAGCCUAUAUAUUAG
rnacentral:lncRNA from 1 species